UACGUAGGGGGCAAGCGUUGUCCGGAUUUAUUGGGCGUAAAGAGCUCGUAGGCGGUUUGGUAAGUCGGAUGUGAAAUCUCCAGGCUCAACCUGGAGGGGUCAUUCGAGACUGCUAUGACUAGAGUUCGGUAGAGGAGUGUGGAAUUCCUGGUGGAGCGGUGAAAUGCGCAGAUAUCAGGAAGAACACCCGUGGCGAAGGCGGCUCUCUGGGACGGUACUGACGCUGAGACGCGAAAGCGUGGGGAGCGAACAGG
rnacentral:rRNA from 1 species